rnacentral:rRNA from 1 species
AGAUUGAACGCUGGCGGCAUGCCUUACACAUGCAAGUCGAACGCGAAAGUAGGGGGCAACCCCUGCGAGUAGAGUGGCGAACGGGUGAGUAAUACAUCGGAACGUAUCCAGUAGCGGGGGAUAACCUCUCGAAAGAGAGGCUAAUACCGCAUACGACCUACGGGUGAAAGAGGGGGAUCGCAAGACCUCUCACUAUUGGAGCGGCCGAUGUCGGAUUAGCUAGUUGGCGGGGUAAAAGCCCACCAAGGCUACGAUCCGUAGCUGGUCUGAGAGGACGACCAGCCACACUGGAACUGAGACACGGUCCAGACUCCUACGGGAGGCAGCAGUGGGAAUUUGGACAAUGGGCGAAGCCUGAUCCAGCCAUGCCGCGUGAGUGAAGAAGGCUUCGGUUAGUAACGUCGUCUUUCGGCGGGACGAAAAGUAUUACGCGCGUAAC